CUACGGGAGGCUCCAGUGGGGAAUAUUGCACAAUGGGCGCAAGCCUGAUGCAGCCAUGCCGCGUGUAUGAAGAAGGCCUUCGGGUUGUAAAGUACUUUCAGCGGGGAGGAAGGGAGUAAAGUUAAUACCUUUGCUCAUUGACGUUACCCGCAGAAGAAGCACCGGCUAACUCCGUGCCAGCAGCCGCGGUAAUACGGAGGGUGCAAGCGGUAAUCGGAAUUACUGGGCGUAAAGCGCACGCAGGCGGUUUGUUAAGUCAGCUGUGAAAUCCCCGGGCUCAACCUGGGAACUGCAUCUGAUACUGGCGAGCUUGAGUCUCGUAGAGGGGGGUAGAAUUCCAGGUGUAGCGGUGAUAUGCGUAGAGAUCUGGAGGAAUACCGGUGGCGAAGGCGGCCCCCUGGACGAAGACUGACGCUCAGGUGCGAAAGCGUGGGGAGCAAACAGGAUUAGAUACCCUAGUAGUC
rnacentral:rRNA from 1 species